rnacentral:sRNA from 1 species
GUGGCUCCAGUUGACUCUAUCCAGGCAGAAGAGUGGUACUUUGGAAAACUUGGCCGAAAAGAUGCUGAGCGACAGCUAUUGUCCUUUGGAAACCCAAGAGGUACCUUUCUUAUCCGCGAGAGUGAAACCACCAAAGGUGCCUAUUCACUUUCUAUCCGUGAUUGGGAUGAUAUGAAAGGAGACCAUGUCAAACAUUAUAAAAUUCGCAAACUUGACAAUGGUGGAUACUACAUUACCACCCGGGCCCAGUUUGAAACACUUCAGCAGCUUGUACAACAUUACUCAGGUAACCUUAAUUCUAACUACCUACUAACCAUUUGGAUGCUGGAGGGAGUGGAUAGGCCCAGAGCAGGAAAGUGGAAAGGGGUAAAACUAAUAUGUACAAAAUCACUUAUAGAGUAUGUUUUCUUUGCCAGCCCUUAAUGGUGGGGCUUGGCUGUAUAGGUUCUAUUGCUAUUGUUCUACUGUUGUUAUUAUUAGUUCUACAUGUUUGUCCGAAGAUUCUAUAAUAUUUUUGUUUCCCAAGUAGAAAGCAAUAGGUUAAAAUUUUAAAAGUUGUUUGUUUUUUCAUCUUCAAGUUGUCUUUUCCCAUUCCCCGCGUUGCAUGUGAGAAAGCAGUCUCUCGGAGGGCGCUUACAUGGGGACUCCUACAAGGAAUAUUGUGUUUCCACUAUCACUUUACCCUCAGCACUGUUGCAGGAAUAGCUGCACGUACAUUUCAUUCUCAUGCAAGCCAUUUAUCAUGUUCCCCACCAA